GAAAAUAUUUUUGCAUUUUUUGAAUAUAAAAAACUAUUUAAAAUGAAUUAAAAAUAACCAGAAAAGAGAAAAUUCACAAAAAAUAUCAAAUGACAAAAUAAAAAAUAAUAAAAAUCAGAAAUAGAAACUAGAAUUUAUUUGGGAAAUAAUGCAAUUGAUCCCAUAAUUUUUGGAUAAAAAAUGAGAAAGAUAUUGAUUUUUGAAAAUAAUUGGAAUUAAAGAAAUAAAAA
rnacentral:lncRNA from 1 species